rnacentral:rRNA from 1 species
AACGAACGCUGGCGGCAUGCCUAACACAUGCAAGUCGAACGAGACCUUCGGGUCUAGUGGCGCACGGGUGCGUAACGCGUGGGAACCUGCCCUUAGGUUCGGAAUAACUCCCCGAAAGGGGUGCUAAUACCGGAUAAUGUCUUCGGACCAAAGAUUUAUCGCCUUUGGAUGGGCCCGCGUUGGAUUAGCUAGUUGGUAGGGUAAAAGCCUACCAAGGCGACGAUCCAUAGCUGGUCUGAGAGGAUGAUCAGCCACACUGGGACUGAGACACGGCCCAGACUGCGAGGGGGGGGAGGAGGGGGGAAGAGGGGAAAGGGGGCGAAAGCCGGAGGAAGGAAGGGGUGGGGAGUGAUGAAGGGCUGAGGGUGGUAAAGCUGUUUAACGCGGGAAGAGAAGGACAGGACCGGGAAAAUAAGCGCCGGCUAACUCCGUGCAAGCAGCCGCGGAAAGAGAAGAAGAGCACAGGCGAGAAC